UGGGGAAUAUUGCACAAUGGGCGCAAGCCUGAUGCAGCCAUGCCGCGUGUGUGAAGAAGGCCUUCGGGUUGUAAAGCACUUUCAGCGAGGAGGAAGGUGGUGAGCUUAAUACGCUCAUCAAUUGACGUUACUCGCAGAAGAAGCACCGGCUAACUCCGUGCCAGCAGCCGCGGUAAUACGGAGGGUGCAAGCGUUAAUCGGAAUUACUGGGCGUAAAGCGCACGCAGGCGGUUUGUUAAGUCAGAUGUGAAAUCCCCGGGCUCAACCUGGGAACUGCAUUUGAAACUGGCAAGCUAGAGUCUCGUAGAGGGGGGUAGAAUUCCAGGUGUAGCGGUGAAAUGCGUAGAGAUCUGGAGGAAUACCGGUGGCGAAGGCGGCCCCCUGGACGAAGACUGACGCUCAGGUGCGAAAAGCGUGGGGAGCAAAACAGGAUUAGAUACCCUGGUAGUCCACGCUGUAAAACGAUGUCGAUUUUGGAGGUUGUGCCCUUGAGGCGUGGCUUCCGGAGCU
rnacentral:rRNA from 1 species